ACACGUAGGGGCCUGACGUUGUUCGGAAUCAUUGGGCGUAAAGGGCGCGCAGGCGGCCGUCCAAGUCCGGUGUUAAAUGGUCGGGCUCAACCCGAUCAUGCGCUGGAAACUGGGCGGCUUGAGUCCCGUAGGGGAUGCCGGAAUUCCAGGUGUAGGGGUGAAAUCUGUAGAUAUCUGGAAGAACACCGAUGGCGAAGGCAGGCAUCUGGCCGGAGACUGACGCUGAGGCGCGAAGGCGCGGGGAGCGAACAGGUUUAGAUACCCUGGUAGUCCGCGCAGUAAACGAUGCGCACCAGGUGUCGGGCGGCAGCGCCCGGUACCGGAGCUAACGCGAUGUGUGCGCCGCCUGGGGAGUAUGCCCGCAAGGGUGAAACUCAAAUGAAUUGACGGGG
rnacentral:rRNA from 1 species